rnacentral:rRNA from 1 species
CCUACGGGUGGCUGCAGUGAGGAAUAUUGGUCAAUGGGCGGGAGCCUGAAUCAGCCAAGUCGCGUGAGGGAAGACGGUCCUAUGGAUUGUAAACCUCUUUAGGCGGGGAGCAAUGCCGGGCACGUGUGCCCGGAGGGAGAGUACCCGCAGAAUAAGCAUCGGCUAACUCCGUGCCAGCAGCCGCGGUAAUACGGAGGAUGCGAGGGUAUUCCGGAUUUAUUGGGUUUAAGGGGUGCGUAGGCGGAUUUUUAAGUCAGCGGGAAAAGGUCCGGGCGCAACCCGGGCCGGCGGUUGAAACUGGGGAGCUUGAGUGGGCGAGAAGUAGGCGGAAUGCGUGGUGUAGCGGUGAAAUGCAUAGAUAUGACGCAGAACUCCGAUUGCGAAGGCAGCAUACCGGCGCCCGACUGACGCUGAGGCACGAAAGCGUGGGGAUCGAACAGGAUUAGAUACCCGAGUAGUC